rnacentral:tRNA from 1 species
GCAUGGAUAGCGAAGCGGCCAAACGCACGAGACUCAAGAUCUCGCGACUUAGUGUCUUCGAAGGUUCGAAUCCUUCUCCAUGCA